rnacentral:rRNA from 1 species
AGAUUGAACGCUGGCGGCAGGCCUAACACAUGCAAGUCGAGCGGUAGAGAGGUGCUUGCAUCUCUUGAGAGCGGCGGACGGGUGAGUAAUGCCUAGGAAUCUGCCUAGUGGUGGGGGAUAACGUUCGGAAACGGACGCUAAUACCGCAUACGUCCUACGGGAGAAAGCGGGGGACCUUCGGGCCUCGCGCCAUUAGAUGAGCCUAGGUCGGAUUAGCUAGUUGGUGAGGUAAUGGCUCACCAAGGCGACGAUCCGUAACUGGUCUGAGAGGAUGAUCAGUCACACUGGAACUGAGACCACGGUCCAGACCUUCCCGUACGGGGAGCAGCA